GGUUAACGGCUGGCGGCGUGCCUAACACAUGCAAGUCGAACGGUUCUAAGCGCGAGCUUAGGAUAGUGGCGAACGGGUGAGUAAAAGGUAGGAAUCUACCCCUUGGACGGAGAUAGCUACUGGAAACGGUAGGUAAACUUCGAUAAGCCCGAGAGGGGAAAGUGGUGAGACAGCCGAGGGAUGAGCCUACUCUCCAUCAGGUAGUUGGUGAGAUAAAAGCUUACCAAGCCGAUGACGGAUAACCGGUGUGAGAGCAUGAACGGUCACAAGGGCACUGAGAGACGGGCCCUACUCCUACGGGAGGCAGCAGUGGGGAAUCUUGGACAAUGGGCGAAAGCCUGAUCCAGCGACGCCGCGUGGAGGAAGAAGUCCUUCGGGAUGUAAACUUCUGAACUAGCCGAAUAAAAGGCCUGUGGACACACAGGAGAAGAAAGUAGGCUAGGAAAAGUCCCGGCUAACUACGUG
rnacentral:rRNA from 1 species